ensembl:lncRNA
GAAAGACCCAGAGCUGACACACUCACUAUUCUUCUUCCAUGGAUUGCUAAAAUAGAGAUGACUUACCAAUACAAAUUUGAACCAUGCCAAUAUUAUGAAUUCCCGGGAUGCUUAUGCUUAGCCUUGGGAUGAUGCAUUGCAUGAAUGGAACCAUAAGGAGGCAACAAAGAUUUAGAGCAGCACUUGAAUAGAAGCAAUUUUGUUCGACAUGGAUUCUACUAAACUAGAGAUUUCUGGAUUUUCACAAGACCAAGCAAUAGAGGGACUUGGAAAGUCUUAUUGAGAAGAUAUGUGAGUGAUGUCAGAAAGUUACAUUUAAAUGAUUACAUCCAAAUGUAAUCAAUUUGAUUAAAAAAACUGUGGACGAGUUAAGGAAAGGAGGGAUGAGAAGAUUUCCAGCAGAGUAGCUUCUUACACAUCAGUCUUUUGCUUCUUGGUUUCAACAUCAUCCUAAAAACAGUGGCCAAACAGAGUUAAAACACUACAGUUUGUACGGUCAGACUUACACACGUAUGUAAGGAUUUCACUGCAUAGUAGAAAUUACCUCAUCAUCAUCAUCAUCAUCCUCGGCCGCUCUUUUUCCUGUGCCACCCUCAGCCUCAUCAUCAUCUUCAUCAUCAUCAUCAUCACCUGCCUUGCCUUCUCCAUCAUCUUCCUCAUCCUCUUCAGCCACCUCAUCAUCCUCCUCAUCUACUUCAUUUUCUGGAUCGCCAUUCUCCUCGUUUUCCUAAAAUAUAAAACAUUAUGAGUUAUCAUGGGUAGCACCUGAGUUCAUUUGGAAACUAUUACAAGCAGUACUGGGCAAUGAAAAGAGAAAAGUUGUGGAAACUAACCGCAUUUCCAUUAGCAGGGGCAUCCUUUCCGUUUUCUGCCUCCUCAACCUGCUUCUUUUCUUUAAGGUCCUAAGUGAAGAAAAAUAUGGCUUUGUAAUUGCUUCAGUUACUUAUCUGAUGUAGGAAAUUAAACUAGACCGAUGCUGAAUUCACAUCCUCUCUUAUUUGUGGAACGUGCUUUCAUUUCACAUUUGAAACGCGACACUUCCACACUCUUUAUUCAUUGGAUGUCUUU